rnacentral:misc_RNA from 1 species
GAAAUGCGAUAACUAGUGUGAAUUGCAGAAUUCCGUGAAUCAUCGAGCCUUUGAACGCACAUUGCGCCCCCUGGUAUUCCGGGGGGCAUGCCUGUCCGAGCGUCAUUGCUGCCCAUCAAGCACGGCUUGUGUGUUGGGUCGUCGUCCCCUCUCCGGGGGGGACGGGCCCCAAAGGCAGCGGCGGCACCGCGUCCGAUCCUCGAGCGUAUGGGGCUUUGUCACCCGCUCUGUAGGCCCGGCCGGCGCUUGCCGAACGCAAAUCAAUCUUUUUCCAGGUUGACCUCGGAUCAGGUAGGGAUACCCGCUGAACUUAAGC